GCCGGGUAUGGUGGUGCACGCCUGUAAUCCCAGUGGCUGUGGCGGCUGAGGCAGGAGGAUCGCAGGUUUGAGGCCAGCUUCAGCAACUUAGUGAGGCAAUAAGCAACCUAGUGAGACCCUGUCUUGA
rnacentral:sRNA from 1 species